rnacentral:tRNA from 1 species
AGGGGAUUAAGUUAAAAAAACUGUUAAACUUCAAAUUUAAAAUUAAUUUAUAAUUAUCUUCUA